GUCUAUGGCCAUACCACCCUGGCCGCACCCGAUCUCAUCUGAUCUCGGAAGCUAAGUAGGGUCAGGCUUGGUUAGUACUUGGAUAGCAGAAUUUAGUGACUGUUGCCC
rnacentral:rRNA from 1 species